CUGGAUACUGGUUCAGGAGUAUUCUUACGGCUGAUAUUAUUUAUUCCUUUUCUGUUCAGGUACUGAUUAUUAAGGUGACUAUAUGAAAGGAUCACUCCAAAAUAACACACACCAGAAUAGGAGUCCUGUCUUAACUGAGCAAUAUACACUAUGGAGAGAUCCUUCAAAACCCGUUGGGACGAAUAACAGAUGAAUUCAUAAACUGUUCAUCUCUGUUAUCCUGAAUGGUCACUCAGACAACAUUUUACUCAACUAUAAAGGUAGGGGAAAUCUUUUGAUCAUAAAUUUAUUUUAACAGUUUCAAAGUAUCCUCAGUAGAUAUAGAUAGGAUUGAUUCCAUCCACUGUCGGUGAUGUGUCAUGAUCGAUUAUCUCCCCUGAAUUGCUAAACUUGAAUUCGCACAAUCAGUGUUUGUCAGUCCAAAUGUUUUCUAUACUGUUUGUUUUACUGUGGAAAACAUUCUGCUACAUAUAAGUCAUCAUCUUCUAUA
rnacentral:lncRNA from 1 species